rnacentral:lncRNA from 10 species
UUAGAUAAUAACUUUAAAAAAGAUUGCUUAAAGACAGGACUUUCUAUUUGAAAUUAUACUGCAGGACUUAGCCAAUGCAACAAGGUAAGAAAACACAAGAUAAGAUUUAAGGAAUUGAAAAGACACAAAACACAUUGUUUCCAAAUAGUUUAAUAUUUCAUAUAGAAAAUCCAACAGACUUUAUGGACAAUCUAUCAGAGACAAUAGGAGCAUGAUUGGUGAAUACAAGAGCAAUAUACAAAAAUCAAUAGCUCUCCUAUGUACAGAAAACAACCACUUAUAUAAUUUUUAGAGAGUUCACUCACAAGAUCACAAAUUGACUUACAUAUUGACCAUUUACUGAGUGACCAAAUUGUACAAUUGGCUAAUUUUAACAAAAAUGUGUUUAACUGCUUAUAAAGUUUAAAGCAAUUCAUAUUAGAUACCAUGUCAGAGACUAUCAGCCCCCCAUUACCCUCUUUCUUCUUAUGUGUUCUAUGGAAGAGAUUGGUAGACUAUGGCUCAUGGGCCAAAUCAGGUCUGCCACCUGUUUUUGUAAAUAAAGUUUUAUUGGAACACAGCAAACCCCAUUGAUUUACAUAUUUUCAUUGGCUAGAAUGAGAUUAUAAGUCUUCCCUAGCAGAAAAAAAAGAGUGGACUGGGUGCGGUGGCUCACGCCUGUAAUCCCAGCACUUUGAGAGGCCGAGGCGGGUGGAUCACAAGGUCAGGAGGUUGAGACCAUCCUGGCUAACACAGUGAAACCCCGUCUCUAAUAAAAAUACAAAAAAUUAGCCAGGCAUGGUGGCAUGCGCCUGUAGUCCCAGCUACUCAGGAGGCUGAGGCAGGAGAAUCGCUUGAACCCAGGAGGCGGAGGUUGCAGUGAGCUGAAAUCGCACCACUGAACUCCAGCCUGGACGACAGAGCAAGACCCUUUAAAAAAAAAAAAAAGAAAGAAGGAAGGAAGGAAGGAAGGAAGGAAGGAAGGAAGGAAGGAAGGAAGGAAGGAAGGAAGGGAAGGAAGGAAGGAAGGAGGGAACGAAGGAAGUAGUGGAUAAGAGAGAGGCAGAUUUCAUGAUUGACUCAGACAAUUCAUUAUCCAGACAGGCAGUACUGCCCAGAACACAGAGUUCUGUUAGAAGGAAUCAGUAUUGUGUAGCAACUAACACUAUCUGCCAGUUGACUUCUUUGGCAAUCAAUCAUCCAAACACACUCUUUUUCUCCUAUGUACGCUUUACAUAAAAAUAAACCAGCCUGAAGUGAAAGAUCUCUGAGUGAUGUGCAAUCCUUUUUGCUAGGUCUGAAUAUGGAUCCUGUGGUCCAGCAACCUAAGGCUAGAAGACAAUUAUCUGCUCCCAACACACCCGAUGUACUGUAGCAGAGAAGGAACAGGAUAAUCGCAGUGAAAGUUCCCAUUUGAGAAAGGGAAGAAUGGAAAAUAUGUAAAUCAUCGGUUCAAACAAGAUAUUAAAUCCUGCUGGGCUAAGUUCUCUGGUUAGCCAAUCUGGCAGCCCUUGAAUGUGUCCUCUGGAAGAAUCUUCUAUGUGCAUUGUCAUCCAACUGCAUAUAAGGCCUGAAUCGUUGGUCUGUAGUUUUGAUCCAUCUCUCCUCACUGCUUGGGAACCCAUCCAGAGCCCUGUCUGCUCAGCCUGCACCUACCCAGUACCUUCAGGUUCCCAGCAGCUGCACAUGGUGAAUUCUUAUCAUGAAAUAUUAUACAUAAUUUUAAAUAAAUGAAUGAGAGCUACAUUAUCAACAUAAAGAUAUCCCAUAAAUGUAAUUUUGACUGAGACAAGCAAGUUACAAAAAGAGCAUAAAGUAUAAAAUUAUUUGUGUAAUUUAAAAAUACACAAAACCAGCCAGGCGUGGUGGCUCACACCUGUAAUCCCAGCACUUUGGGGGGCCAAGGCAGGUGGAUCACAAGGUCAGGAGUUCCGGUCCAGCCUGGUCAACAUGGUGAAACCCCGUCUCUACUAGAAAAAUAUAUAAAUUACCCAGGCAUGGUGGCACGCGCCUGUAGUCCCAGCUAUUCAGGAGGCUGAGGCUGAAGAAUUGCUUGAACUCGGGAGGCCAAGGUUGCAGUGAGCCGAGAUCAUGCCACUGCACUCCAGCCUGGGUGACAGAGCGAGACUCUGUCUCAAAAAAAAAAAAGCACAAAACCAUAGAUACAUACCAAAAUACUGAUAAUACUUCUCUGGGUGAAAGGACCACAUAAAGUUUUUAUUUUCUUUAUUUUGCUUAUAUUGUUUAUUUUCUAUAUGUUUUAGUUGUGCAUUGCUGCUGUAACAAAUUACCAUGAACUCAAUAACUUAACCCAAUACAAAUUUAUUAUCUUAUGCCUGGAGGUCAGAAGUUCAAAAUGGGUCUCAUAGAGUCAAAAUCAAGGUGUCAGGAGGGAUGAAGUCCUUCUGAAGGAUCCAGGGGAGAAUCCAUUUCCUUGCUUUUUCCGAGUUCUAGAGGCUUCCUGAUUUCCUUGGCUCAUGGGCCCUUCUUCUCUCUCUAAAGCCAGCAAUGAUAGGUUCUCAUAGCACAUGACUCUGGCCCUGCUCCCAUCAUUAUAUUUCAUUCUCUGAUCUCUUCUUCCUCCUUCUUCUGCUGUUAAUGACCCUUGUGAUUACACUGGUGCCACUUGGAUGAUCUAGGAUAAUGCUCCUUAUCUGAAGAUCCUAAACUUGAUCACAUCUGCAAAGUCCCUUUUGGCAUGUAAGGGAACAUAUUCACAGGCUCCAGGAAUUAGGAUAUGGACAUCUUUGGAAGGCCAUUAUUCUACCUGAUACAUUAUAAUAAAUAUGAUAUGCUUGAAAGAAGGAAAAAAACAUGAGUUCAAAGGCUUCUUAAAACUACCUGCAUAAUGUGCUUGGAUUUGCGCCAAAGCCAAUGAUCUUAUGAAAAUCCUCUAAUCAUCAUCGUCCAACUUUACAUUUUAUAGGCCCAAAAUAAAGAACAAGUAAUAAACAAAAAUCUACACAAAGGUUGUAUAUUCACCCUGCAGAUAAAAGACUGAUGCACCUGUUCCAACAUUAUUCAUUUUUCCUGCAUAUAAGUUUGUAUCAUAACAGUAUAAAAAUAUUAUGUCAAAGGGCUUUUAACUCAUCUUCACUGACUAUAAAAGAAAUGCAAAUCGAGAUGACCAUUUUUUACAAUGUUGGAGAGAAUGUAGGGUAAGAGGCACUCUCACAGUUGGUAGGAAUAUAAGCACAGCUCCUAGGGAGAGCAAUUUGACAGUAUCUGUCAAAACUUAAAAUGCACAUACCCCUUGUCAGCAUUAACUCUAUUUCUAGGGGUUUUUCCUGUAGAUACUCUCACAUGUUCCCAAAAAUAUAGAUACAAGAAUAUCUAAGGUCCCAUUGUUAUAAUGGUAAAAUAUUGGAAGCAGUAAAAACGUCCAUCUGUAGGAGAGUGGUUAAAUAAAUUGUGUAUGUUCUGAGGUUAAGAACCAAGAUUGCACGUUAAAGAAAGUGAAAAGACAAGCAACAAGCUGAAAGAUCCUACAAAUAUCGAGGAUAUAUAAAAACUCUUACCAAUUAAUAAGGAAAUAGUACAAUAGUGAAAGGUACAACAGACAUAAUCAAACAUAUCACAGAAGAAACACAUGAGGCUAAUAAACAUAUGAAAAUACAAUAAACCUCACUGGAAAUUGGAAAAAUGCAAAUUGAGGUCUCAAUGAUAUGCCAUUUUUUAUCUUUUCAAAUGGUAAAAGGUAAGAUGUCUGACAAAAGCAAAGCAUUAAAGAAAAUAUGAAUCAAAGGACGCUCUGACACAUUGCUGAGGGAGUAUAAAUUGGAACAGCUACUUUGUUAAAUUGUGUGAUAUUAUCUCAUGAAAUUGAAUAUUUGCAUCCUCUCUGAUCUAGCAAUUCCACUCCUAGAUAUAUAACCCAAAGAAAGCUUAGCAUAUAUGUACCUGGAAACACUUAAAGAAUGUUCAGAACAGCACCAAUCAUAUUGCAAAAACUAAAAACAAUCUAAAUUUUCUUACUAUGUGCACACAAUGGAAUAUUACACAGGAAGAAAAUUAAGUCACAAGCAACAAAACUUUAGCAGCAAAGCAAAUCCCAGAAGGUAAUACAGAUUAUUAAAGUAUUUUUGUAAAGCUAACAAUGAAUGUGAUAAAAACACCCCAUCCCCAAAGAGAAUGAUAAGAACACAAUUCAAGAGGGUAGGUGUCUGAAGGAAAGGCAAAGUGAUGGGAUAGGGACGGAGAACAAAGAAAGAUGUGAGUUAUUUGUUCUUGGCUUAGGUGGCGGGUUCAUAGGUGUUCAUUUAUUAGUACAGAUAAAUGAAAAUAAAUGAGUAAGAUGGCUCUGCAUGGAUCCAAUGAUGACUGUGUACCAUAAAUGAAGGAUUAUAUUUAAUCCAAUACUUUGUACUUAGGAAAAACAACAUUCCUCAAGGAAUGUUCAUAGAAGCUUUGUUUGUAAUAGCAAAAACCUGAAAAUAACCCAAAUGUCCAUCAGCUGGUGAAUGGAUAAACUCCAGCACAUCCAUUCUGUGAACCACCACUCAGAAAUAAAAAGGUAAAAACUUGCAAUACACACAACAGCCUAAAUGGACAUCAAGGGCAUUAUGCUUAUCAAAGAAAGCCAAUUUCAAAAGACUAUUCAUUGUAUGACUUCACUUAAUAACAUUCUCAGUGACAAAACUAUAGAUAUGGAGAACAAAUUAGUACUUGUCAGGAACAGGACGGGGUGAAGGUGUGAAUUCAGAGGGGUAGCACUAGGAAGUUUCUCUGUGGUGAGGAAACAGUCCUGUAUCUUGACUGUAGUGGUGGUUACACAAAUCUAUACAUGAGAUUACAUUGCAUAGAACUAUACAUACACUACCCCACAAAAACAGUACAUAAGAAAGCUACAGUAUUCUAAGCAUGUUGUUUCAGACACAUGAAUGGAAAAGAAAGACCAGUAUGGAUCCAAAGUUGAGUAGCUGACAAAAUGACAUUUUAAAUUAGUGACAAAAGAUGGAUCAUUUAAUAAAUAUUCUCUGUCCUAAAUAAUAGAUCUAAGACAUAUAUAAGUAAGAAAGCAAACUAAUUAAAGCUAGGAGACAGCAUGGGAAAAUUUUUCUUUUACUUUUCUUUCUUUUUCUUUUCUUUUUUUUUUUUUUGAGACAGAGUCUCGCUCUGUUGCCCAGGCUGGAGUGCAGUGACUGCGGUCUUGGCUCACUGUAACUUUCGC